rnacentral:tRNA from 1 species
GAGCUUUUAGACUCAUGGGAUUAAGUCACCUGCCUUCAAAGAAAUUAAGAUAAAGCAGGAAACGUCAGUUCGAAUCUGACAAAGCUCA